rnacentral:lncRNA from 1 species
AGGAGGGGGAGAGUCAGGAACCAAACUCUAGUACUGAGCAGGAGAGAGAGUAGGAGGGGGAGAGUCAGGAACCAAACUCUAGUACUGAGCAGGAGAGAGAGUAGGAGGGGGAGAGUCAGGAACCAAACUCUAGUACUGAGCAGGAGAGAGAGUAGGAGGGGGAGAGUCAGGAACCAAACUCUAGUACUGAGCAGGAGAGAGAGUAGGAGGGGGAGAGUCAGGAACCAAACUCUAGUACUGAGCAGGAGAGAGAGUAGGAGGGGGAGAGUCAGGAACCAAACUCUAGUACUGAGCAGGAAAGAGAGUAGGAGGGGGAGAGUCAGGAACCAAACUCUAGUACUGAGCAGGAGAGAGAGUAGGAGGGGGAGAGUCAGGAACCAAACUCUAGUACUGAGCAGGAGAGAGAGUAGGAGGGGGAGAGUCAGGAACCAAACUCUAGUACUGAGCAGGAGAGAGAGUAGGAGGGGGAGAGUCAGGAACCAAACUCUAGUACUGAGCAGGAGAGAGAGUAGGAGGGGGAGAGUCAGGAACCAAACUCUAGUACUGAGCAGGAGAGAGAGUAGGAGGGGGAGAGUCAGGAACCAAACUCUAGUACUGAGCAGGAGAGAGAGUAGGAGGGGGAGAGUCAGGAACCAAACUCUAGUACUGAGCAGGAGAGAGAGUAGGAGGGGGAGAGUCAGGAACCAAACUCUAGUACUGAGCAGGAGAGAGAGUAGGAGGGGGAGAGUCAGGAACCAAACUCUAGUACUGAGCAGGAAAGAGAGUAGGAGGGGGAGAGUCAGGAACCAAACUCUAGUACUGAGCAGGAGAGAGAGUAGGAGGGGGAGAGUCAGGAACCAAACUCUAGUACUGAGCAGGAGAGAGAGUAGGAGGGGGAGAGUCAGGAACCAAACUCUAGUACUGAGCAGGAGAGAGAGUAGGAGGGGGAGAGUCAGGAACCAAACUCUAGUACUGAGCAGGAGAGAGAGUAGGAGGGGGAGAGUCAGGAACCAAACUCUAGUACUGAGCAGGAGAGAGAGUAGGAGGGGGAGAGUCAGGAACCAAACUCUAGUACUGAGCAGGAGAGAGAGUAGGAGGGGGAGAGUCAGGAACCAAACUCUAGUACUGAGCAGGAAAGAGAGUAGGAGGGGGAGAGUCAGGAACCAAACUCUAGUACUGAGCAGGAGAGAGAGUAGGAGGGGGAGAGUCAGGAACCAAACUCUAGUACUGAGCAGGAGAGAGAGUAGGAGGAUCAGGAACCAAACUCUAGUACUGAGCAGGAGAGAGAGUAGGAGGGGGAGAGUCAGGAACCAAACUCUAGUACUGAGCAGGAGAGAGAGUAGGAGGGGGAGAGUCAGGAACCAAACUCUAGUACUGAGCAGGAGAGAGAGUAGGAGGGGGAGAGUCAGGAACCAAACUCUAGUACUGAGCAGGAGAGGGAGAGUCAGGAACCAAACUCUAGUACUGAGCAGGAGAGAGAGUAGGAGGGGGAGUGUCAGGAACCAAACUCUAGUACUGAGCAGGAGAGAGAGUAGGAGGGGGAGUAUCAGGAACCAAACUCUAGUACUGAGCAGGAGAGAGAGUAGGAGGGGGAGAGUCAGGAACCAAACUCUAGUACUGAGCAGGAGAGAGAGUAGGAGGGGGAGAGUCAGGAACCAAACUCUAGUACUGAGCAGGAGAGAGAGUAGGAGGGGGAGAGUCAGGAACCAAACUCUAGUACUGAGCAGGAGAGAGAGUAGGAGGGGGAGAGUCAGGAACCAAACUCUAGUACUGAGCAGGAGAGAGAGUAGGAGGGGGAGAGUCAGGAACCAAACUCUAGUACUGAGCAGGAGAGAGAGUAGGAGGGGGAGAGUCAGGAACCAAACUCUAGUACUGAGCAGGAGAGAGAGUAGGAGGGGGAGAGUCAGGAACCAAACUCUAGUACUGAGCAGGAGAGAGAGUAGGAGGGGGAGAGUCAGGAACCAAACUCUAGUACUGAGCAGGAGAGAGAGUAGGAGGGGGAGAGUCAGGAACCAAACUCUAGUACUGAGCAGGAGAGAGAGUAGGAGGGGGAGAGUCAGGAACCAAACUCUAGUACUGAGCAGGAAAGAGAGUAGGAGGGGGAGAGUCAGGAACCAAACUCUAGUACUGAGCAGGAGAGAGAGUAGGAGGGGGAGAGUCAGGAACCAAACUCUAGUACUGAGCAGGAGAGAGAGUAGGAGGAUCAGGAACCAAACUCUAGUACUGAGCAGGAGAGAGAGUAGGAGGGGGAGAGUCAGGAACCAAACUCUAGUACUGAGCAGGAGAGAGAGUAGGAGGGGGAGAGUCAGGAACCAAACUCUAGUACUGAGCAGGAGAGAGAGUAGGAGGGGGAGAGUCAGGAACCAAACUCUAGUACUGAGCAGGAGAGGGAGAGUCAGGAACCAAACUCUAGUACUGAGCAGGAGAGAGAGUAGGAGGGGGAGUGUCAGGAACCAAACUCUAGUACUGAGCAGGAGAGAGAGUAGGAGGGGGAGUAUCAGGAACCAAACUCUAGUACUGAGCAGGAGAGAGAGUAGGAGGGGGAGAGUCAGGAACCAAACUCUAGUACUGAGCAGGAGAGAGAGUAGGAGGGGGAGAGUCAGGAACCAAACUCUAGUACUGAGCAGGAGAGAGAGUAGGAGGGGGAGAGUCAGGAACCAAACUCUAGUACUGAGCAGGAGAGAGAGUAGGAGGGGGAGAGUCAGGAACCAAACUCUAGUACUGAGCAGGAGAGAGAGUAGGAGGGGGAGAGUCAGGAACCAAACUCUAGUACUGAGCAGGAGAGAGAGUAGGAGGGGGAGUGUCAGGAACCAAACUCUAGUACUGAGCAGGAGAGAGAGUAGGAGGGGGAGAGUCAGGAACCAAACUCUAGUACUGAGCAGGAGAGAGAGUAGGAGGGGGAGAGUCAGGAACCAAACUCUAGUACUGAGCAGGAGAGAGAGUAGGAGGGGGAGAGUCAGGAACCAAACUCUAGUACUGAGCAGGAGAGAGAGUAGGAGGGGGAGAGUCAGGAACCAAACUCUAGUACUGAGCAGGAGAGAGAGUAGGAGGGGGAGAGUCAGGAACCAAACUCUAGUACUGAGCAGGAGAGAGAGUAGGAGGGGGAGAGUCAGGAACCAAACUCUAGUACUGAGCAGGAGAGAGAGUAGGAGGGGGAGAGUCAGGAACCAAACUCUAGUACUGAGCAGGAGAGAGAGUAGGAGGGGGAGAGUCAGGAGAGAUUGGAACUGUAUAGCAUCAUUAUAA